rnacentral:rRNA from 1 species
GACGAACGCUGGCGGCGUGCUUAACACAUGCAAGUCGAACGGAAAGGCCCCUUUGGGGGUCCUCGAGUGGCGAACGGGUGAGUAACACGUGAGUAACCUGCCCUUGACUUCGGGAUAACUUCAGGAAACUGGGGCUAAUACCGGAUAGGAAUCCUUGCUGCAUGGUGGGGGUUGGAAAGCUUCGGCGGUUUUGGAUGGACUCGCGGCUUAUCAGCUUGUUGGUGGGGUAGUGGCUUACCAAGGCUUUGACGGGUAGCCGGCCUGAGGGGGCGACCGGCCAGAUUUGAGACCGAAAGCCGGCCGAGCCUCCGACGGGGGGGAGAGGGGGGAAAGUUUGAAGGAGGGGCGGAGGCUGAGUGAGGCAGGCCCGCGGGGGGGAUAACGCCCUUCGGGUUGAAGACCAUUUGCGGAAGGGGCAAGGCUUGUGGGGACGGUCCCUAAAAAGAAAGCCCCGGCUAACUACGUG